UAUGUAAACAGUGUAAAAAAUAAAACAAUGCGAGUAUUCCGGGACACAAGGAGUACUCUGUAUAAAAAAGAAAAUGAUAUAAAAAAGGACAAUGGUAUAUUGUACCCCUAUUAUGUGAUUAUAAACCCAUAAUGGUUACCUGCCAAUUGCAAAACGAAUAUAAAAAAUAAAAAUCUCCUUUUCUCUCUCUACCCAAGAAAACCUAAAAACCCACAAAACCCUAGAGCCGCCGCCUCCUUCAGCAGGCUCGUUGGUGGCCGGAGUUUCAAAAGGUCGCCGGCGAGCCUGCUACCAUUCUUAUUAGCUUCGUGUCUUUGUGUUUCCGGUGGUGAAGAAGAAGACGGAGCCAAGCUUGUUCGAAAGGAAGCUUCUACCUCCUCUUUGUGUGUGCUUCUUGCCGGAUCUUGUAAUUUUUGGAGCCGCGCCGAUCUAGUAGGUGGUUCCCCGAUUAGCGAGUUCUUGUGUCUCACCUCAGCCUUGCUUGAAGUAGGGACAAGUUCUUUGAGGUAAUCAACUUUGGGUCCUCCUAUAAAGCAACCCGAACGCCGCCGUUGAUAAUCUCACCGGUAAAGAUAAAGUUCGGGUUCCACAGGUUACUAAAGGAGACUCGGUCCAACUUCACCUCCACGUUUUAUAAGGAAAUCACAGCCAUAAAUGGCCUUGGCACGAUUACGCCUCAUUGGCGCUGUAAACAAGGAAUUUUCAACACUCAAGGGCCGGCAACAGAAGAAUCUAUGUAUUGUGUUUUUAUAAUCUUUGUAAUGGUCUCUAAAGACCUUAGUGUUUUAGUUUUGUAAAUUCUUUAUUUAUUACAAAUUAAGCCUAUGUCCAAAAAAAAAAAAAAAAAAAAAUUGUGGUACCCGCCUCUCCUUCUCAGAUCCGUACGGAGCAAGUUGAUUAAUGUAGUACUCGUACUCCGUAAAA